rnacentral:antisense_RNA from 1 species
GCCGCACACGCGCCGGACCGGGUACCUCUGUGCCCGACCUGGCCGCGGCCUAGUCCCGGCAGACGGGACUGACGAGGUCACCAACACCAGGCCGAGACGGCGUGGGUGUCAGGGACUUGGGAAUCCCCCUCCCCCAGUCCCGAUCCCGCUUUCCUCUGGGGUGAAACCCCAGAGGACCCGACGUCACUCUUGCAGCCAUCUACCUGUCUUCCUAGCUCGCUCCCCGCAGGAAUGGUCUGGGGCAACCCCAGCAACAUGCCCACCUGUGGCCAGGAUGAAUAGGAAUCCAGUUCAGGCUUGGCUUCCAUGGCAAUCAAGGCCCACCAGGCCCCAGCAACCUUCCCUACCCCCCAUUCCUUUUUGCUGCCCCCCUCCACACCGGGCAUGUUCCCUGCCACACCAUGCUGUUCCCCUCACCUGGGCUGCCCUCCCAACUCCUUUCUGCCUCUGGAGAUGCUCUGCCAUUCAAGACUUGGCUCAGGCUCCAGGUCCUCCCUGGGCCUUCUAGAGCCCCUGGUUCUCACUCCUCUGAACACUUCCAGCCUGGCUAACAGCCCACUGCAUCCU